UACGGAGGGGCUAGCGUUGUUCGGAAUUACUGGGCGUAAAGCGCACGUAGGCGGCUUUGUAAGUUAGAGGUGAAAGCCCAGGGCUUAACCCUGGAAUUGCCUUUAAGACUGCAUCGCUAGAAUCGUGGAGAGGUGAGUGGAAUUCCGAGUGUAGAGGUGAAAUUCGUAGAUAUUCGGAAGAACACCAGUGGCGAAGGCGACUCACUGGACACGUAUUGACGCUGAGGUGCGAAAGCGUGGGGAGCAAA
rnacentral:rRNA from 1 species